CUUUGAUGGCUUGGAUUGGAAGCUAACUUAAAAGAUGAACUUUUGAGGGUGUGUUUUCUAUUGUGUGGGGCUUUUGUCGAAAUUAGGAUUCCGAAACACGUUUUUCUACGGUGGGUUCAUUCGACAGCGAUUUACUUUCUUAGAAGUUGCGAGACGGUAUGUUUUUGAUUGCAAUUAUUGGAAGAUGACAGAUCCAUCUUUAAAAUGAUACCGGGUUCGGAAAAAUUGAUACGUCGGAAAGGCAAGAAAAAUGCUGUGAAAGUUGUCAGUUUUAUAAUGGGACCCUAUGGGAAUCGGAAUUAGUGUAAUAUAACCUUUAAAAAGCACAUUUACUGCAAUGUCAAGGUCACAUGGAUUCGUCUGCAAGCGAGACGAGUAGAAAAUGAAUUUUAAUGAAUGUUUUGAUGAUUUGGGUGCUAAAAUAGAUGAGAGGUGUCAAUAUUUUGGUCCAAAUGGAUGUUUUAGGUGGUUUUGGACUGUUCCGGAUGGGUGGGGGACCUGGUAUGGACAAGCCUGACCGUUUGUCCUUGAGCCGUAGAUGGUCAACAAUCCGCUAGCUGUCUUGCUCUGACUGGUGCACUGGACAUGAUUUCAAUAGUCAGCCAGACCAUGAUUGAGCUUAAGGGUUGUGCUGCGGAUGCAGCCUGUGCAGUUCCGGGAGAAAGUCACUGUCUCGGGCAAUGCGGUCUGGUAUCAGGUCUGGAUGAUCCUUCCCUGACUGCGGGUUUGUGUACACCUCAAUCCGAAUCUGUGUCCUGAACAGAGGCCGCAGUGGUGCAGCGCUUGUGGACGAUCCAUCAACAUCCUGAAAGGUCAACACUACACCAAGCUGGGAAAAUUGAUCCUGAUAGUCAUCCCCAGGCCUGACCGUUUGUCCUUGAGCCGUAGAUGGUCAACAAUCCGCUAGCUGUCUUGCUCUGACUGGUGCACUGGACAUGAUUUCAAUAGUCAGCCAGACCAUGAUUGAGCUUAAGGGUUGUGCUGCGGAUGCAGCCUGUGCAGUUCCGGGAGAAAGUCACUGUCUCGGGCAAUGCGGUCUGGUAUCAGGUCUGGAUGAUCCUUCCCUGACUGCGGGUUUGUGUACACCUCAAUCCGAAUCUGUGUCCUGAACAGAGGCCGCAGUGGUGCAGCGCUUGUGGACGAUCCAUCAACAUCCUGAAAGGUCAACACUACACCAAGCUGGGAAAAUUGAUCCUGAUAGUCAUCCCCAGGCCUGACCGUUUGUCCUUGAGCCGUAGAUGGUCAACAAUCCGCUAGCUGUCUUGCUCUGACUGGUGCACUGGACAUGAUUUCAAUAGUCAGCCAGACCAUGAUUGAGCUUAAGGGUUGUGCUGCGGAUGCAGCCUGUGCAGUUCCGGGAGAAAGUCACUGUCUCGGGCAAUGCGGUCUGGUAUCAGGUCUGGAUGAUCCUUCCCUGACUGCGGGUUUGUGUACACCUCAAUCCGAAUCUGUGUCCUGAACAGAGGCCGCAGUGGUGCAGCGCUUGUGGACGAUCCAUCAACAUCCUGAAAGGUCAACACUACACCAAGCUGGGAAAAUUGAUCCUGAUAGUCAUCCCCAGGCCUGACCGUUUGUCCUUGAGCCGUAGAUGGUCAACAAUCCGCUAGCUGUCUUGCUCUGACUGGUGCACUGGACAUGAUUUCAAUAGUCAGCCAGACCAUGAUUGAGCUUAAGGGUUGUGCUGCGGAUGCAGCCUGUGCAGUUCCGGGAGAAAGUCACUGUCUCGGGCAAUGCGGUCUGGUAUCAGGUCUGGAUGAUCCUUCCCUGACUGCGGGUUUGUGUACACCUCAAUCCGAAUCUGUGUCCUGAACAGAGGCCGCAGUGGUGCAGCGCUUGUGGACGAUCCAUCAACAUCCUGAAAGGUCAACACUACACCAAGCUGGGAAAAUUGAUCCUGAUAGUCAUCCCCAGGCCUGACCGUUUGUCCUUGAGCCGUAGAUGGUCAACAAUCCGCUAGCUGUCUUGCUCUGACUGGUGCACUGGACAUGAUUUCAAU